UUGGGCGUAAGCGCGCGCAGGCGGUUUCUUAAGUCUGAUGUGAAAGCCCACGGCUCAACCGUGGAGGGUCAUUGGAAACUGGGGAACUUGAGUGCAGAAGAGAAAAGCGGAAUUCCACGUGUAGCGGUGAAAUGCGUAGAGAUGUGGAGGAACACCAGUGGCGAAGGCGGCUUUUUGGUCUGUAACUGACGCUGAGGCGCGAAAGCGUGGGGAGCAAACAGGAUUAGAUACCCUGGUAGUCCACGCCGUAAACGAUGAGUGCUAAGUGUUAGAGGGUUUCCGCCCUUUAGUGCUGCAGCUAACGCAUUAAGCACUCCGCCUGGGGAGUACGG
rnacentral:rRNA from 2 species